rnacentral:rRNA from 1 species
GACGAACGCUGGCGGCGUGCCUAAUACAUGCAAGUCGAGCGGAACUGGGGGAGCUUGCUCCUUCCAGUUUAGCGGCGGACGGGUGAGUAACACGUGGGCAACCUGCCCUGCAGAUCGGGAUAACUCCGGGAAACCGGUGCUAAUACCGAAUAGUUUGGCGCCUCCCCUGAGGCGCUACGGAAAGACGGUUUUGGCUGUCACUGCAGGAUGGGCCCGCGGCACAUUAGCUAGUUGGUGGGGUAACGGCCCACCAAGGCGACGAUGCGUAGCCGACCUGAGAGGGUGACCGGCCACCCUGGGACUGAGACACGGCCCAGACUCCUACGGGAGGCAGCAGUAGGGAAUCUUCCGCAAUGGACGCAAGUCUGACGGAGCAACGCCGCGUGAGUGACGAAGGUUUUCGGAUCGUAAAACUCUGUUGUGAGGGAAGAACACGUACCAACUAACUAUUGGUACCUUGACGGUACCUCGCCAGAAAGCCACGGCUAACUACGUGCCAGCCGCCGCCGUAA